CUGGAUUUGAACCUAAGCCCUCUGACAUCAAAUCCAAUACGUUUUCUCUUGUAACAUUGCUGGUUUGGAGAUAAGGCAACGAAAUGAAGAAACUGAGACUCUAACCCUGACUCCAAAUGCACACUUGGGCACUUGAGCUCAAGUUUUGAAAUUCCAAGUCCAGUGUUCCUUCUACUAUAUAUGAUGUUGCCUCUCCAGAUAACAGAAACUGUGUUGGAUGUCCAGAAGAUUAAUUAUGCAUCAUGUUACUAAGCAAAAGGCUAAGCAUAUAACUACAAAUUAAAGCUUUCCUUCCUGAAGUGA